rnacentral:tRNA from 1 species
ACAGGAGUGGCGAAAUUGGUAAACGCGUUAUCUUGAGGGGAUAAUUUUCAUUAUUAAGAGUUCAAGUCUCUUCUUCUGUA